rnacentral:rRNA from 1 species
CCUACGGGAGGCAGCAGUGAGGAAUAUUGGUCAAUGGACGAGAGUCUGAACCAGCCAAGUAGCGUGAAGGAUGACUGCCCUAUGGGUUGUAAACUUCUUUUAUAUGGGAAUAAAAUGUUCCACGUGUGGGAUUUUGUAUGUACCAUAUGAAUAAGGAUCGGCUAACUCCGUGCCAGCAGCCGCGGUAAUACGGAGGAUGCGAGCGUUAUUCGGAUUUAUUGGGUUUAAAGGGUGCGCAGGCGGAAGCGGCAAGUCAGCGGUAAAAUUGCGGGGCUCAACCUCGCCGAGCCGUUGAAACUGCUCUUCUAGAGUGGGCGAGAAGUAUGCGGAAUGCGUGGUGUAGCGGUGAAAUGCAUAGAUAUCACGCAGAACUCCGAUUGCGAAGGCAGCAUACCGGCGCUCAACUGACGCUGAGGCACGAAAGCGUGGGGAUCGAACAGGAUUAGAUACCCUUGUAGUC